AGAGUUUGAUCCUGGCUCAGGACGAACGCUGGCGGCGUGCUUAACACAUGCAAGUCGAACGAUGAAGCCCUUCGGGGUGGAUUAGUGGCGAACGGGUGGAGUAACACGUGGGCAAUCUGCCCUGCACUCUGGGACAAGCCCCUGGAAACGGGGUCUAAUACCGGAUACGACCGCUGACCGCAUGGUUGGUGGUGGAAAGCUCCGGCGGUGCAGGAUGAGCCCGCGGCCUAUCAGCUUGUUGGUGGGGUGAUGGCCUACCAAGGCGACGACGGGGUAGCCGGCCUGAGAGGGCGACCGGCCACACUGGGACUGAGACACGGCCCAGACUCCUACGGGAGGCAGCAGUGGGGAAUAUUGCACAAUGGGCGAAAGCCUGAUGCAGCGACGCCGCGUGAGGGAUGACGGCCUUCGGGUUGUAAACCUCUUUCAGCAGGGAAGAAGCGAAAGUGACGGUACCUGCAGAAGAAGCGCCGGCUAACUACGUGCCAGCAGCCGCGGUAAUACGUAGGGGCGCAAGCGUUGUCCGGAAUUAUUGGGCGUAAAGAGCUCGUAGGCGGCUUGUUGCGUCGGAUGUGAAAGCCCGGGGCUUAACCCCGGGUCUGCAUUCGAUACGGGCAGGCUAGAGUUCGGUAGGGGGAGAUCGGAAUUCCUGGUGUAGCGGUGAAAUGCGCAGAUAUCAGGAGGAACACCGGUGGCGAAGGCGGAUCUCUGGGCCGGAUACUGACGCUGAGGAGCGAAAGCGUGGGGAGCGAACAGGAUUAGAUACCCUGGUAGUCCACGCCGUACUCCCAGGCGGGGAACUUAAUGCGUUAGCUGCGGCACGGACGACGUGGAAUGUCGCCCACACCUAAGUUCCCAACGUUUACGGCGUGGACUACCAGGGUAUCUAAUCCUGUUCGCUCCCCACGCUUUCGCUCCUCAGCGUCCAGUAUCGGCCCAGAGAUCCGCCUUCGCCACCGGUGUUCCUCCUGAUAUCUGCGCAUUUCACCGCUACACCAGGAAUUCCGAUCUCCCCUACCGAACUCUAGCCUGCCCGUAUCGAAUGCAGGACCCGGGGUUAAGCCCCGGGCUUUCACAUCCGACGCAACAAGCCGCCUACGAGCUCUUUACGCCCAAUAAUUC
rnacentral:rRNA from 1 species